UACGUAGGGGGCAAGCGUUGUCCGGAUUCAUUGGGCGUAAGAGCGUGUAGGCGCCAGGUAGGUCGGUUGUGAAACUGGAGGCUCAACCUUCAGAGGUCGACCGAAACCAUCUGGCUAGAGUCCGGGAGAGGAGAGUGGAAUUCCUGGGUGUAGCGGUGAAAUGCGCAGACUAUCAGGAAGAACACCCGUGGCGAAAGCGGCUCUCUGGAACGGUACUGACGCUGAGACGCGAAAGCGUGGGAGCGAACAGG
rnacentral:rRNA from 1 species